AGAAAAUAGAAGACAUGAGCCACACUGAAGAAACAUCAGGCAAAGCACCAGGAAUAAGCUACAAAACUCUAAGGAUCCAAAAAAUCUGCAGAAUUCCUCAGGCAUGCCUAGAUGUUGCAGGGGUGAAUAUUUUUGAAACUUGGUCUGCUGUGAUUUCUAGGCACUUAACAUCUCUAGGAGGAACACCUGCAUCAUCUUGGGAUUUCAUCCUGUGACAAGGAGUGUCAGCAGCAAUAAGCCUCCAACAAGGAAACUCCUGUUCUCCCAAUUCUAUUGGAAGGCUGCAUGAUUCCUGUAGCAUGAGAAGAAGGCCGUCAUGUCUGGCUUCUUACUGGUAAUCUAGCCACUGUUUCAUUUCAACUGCACAGCCUUCUUUUUGUGGAGGGGUAUGAAAUCCCUAAGGAUACAAAGGGACCUUCAGGAUUCCCCAGGCCUGCCUGAUGGAUCCCCUGCAAAGCCCACGAUGAAGGGAGGCAGUGACGUUAAGAGACCAGGCGUCAUUUGCUGACAAUCACCUCUGUCAUCUCAGGGCUUCAUGAUUCCUGUGGGAUGAGAAGCAGGCAGCUACUUCUGGCUAUUGCCUGGCUUGCAAUCACCACAGAUGACCUCUGAGAAAACUUAUGAUCAUCAUCUGUACCUGUGAGACCACAGUUUGAUGUAUGGCAACACUGCUCCACUUUGGACAUGCCUUUGUCGUGGUUCCUGCCUUUCCCAGAGAGCCCCUCGGAGGCCCAAAAUGAAGAGAGGCAAUGAAGUCAAGGGCCCGGCUAUCAUUCACUGACACCCACUUUUGGGGAUCUUAGGCAGGGUGACAGCUCUGAGAGCCAGGAGCCCGAGUCUGUCUCAAGAACUUGCACAUGCCUGUCUCAGAGCACCAGGCCUGAUUGUGAGCUCUGGCUAGCGUCACAGUGAAUGUCAUCAUUGCCUAGCGACUGUUCCUCCGGCUUGGCAGAGAAGGAGACAUUCAUGAAGAUGUGUCGGCAGUGGACUCUCAGUUGUCUUCUCUGUGGGAUUCUCGGUAUAGUCCCAUGAACCUAGAAGAGGGCAGACUUCGACCAGCCUGAAAAAAACUUCUAGCACAGACCAAGGAAUAAACAAUGAAAUCCCUAAGGAUCCAGAAGAGUCUGCCGGAUUCCUCAGGCCUGCCUAAACUUUGUAGGGGAGAGUCUUUUUGAAACUUGCCUCACUGAGAUUUUGAGGUGUUGCCCACCUGUGUUUCCCAUGGUGGCUCUCUCCCUUGUGGGACUUCCUGCAGAACAACACAGCCUCAGAAGCUACUGGGCUCUGUGUUUUGGGGGCAGUGUUGCAAGUGUUGGAUGUCUGCUUCUGUGUGUGGCAGUGUGUCUUUGUGUGUGUGUGUGUGCCUGUAAGUGGAGUCUGCUUAACAUUUUGUGGCUACCUCAUUCCAGUGCUUCUUUUUUUUUUUUUUUUUAAAGUCUCCCAACCUUUUGGUGGCCAGUCUAUGUUGCUGUGCUUGGGUUGCAGGACUCCAUAUUCUUUAAUUUUCUGUGGAUCAUGAAUUCAAACUGAAUUGGGAGGUAGGCAGAGAUGAGCCAGCGUCCAAAUCACCUUUCCCUGCAAAAAAACUACUCUUCUUAAAAUAAAUAAAUAAAUAAAUAAGGAGCACACUACUUCAAAAGAA
ensembl:lncRNA TTTY18 testis expressed transcript, Y-linked 18